rnacentral:rRNA from 1 species
AUACGGAGGAUCCGAGCGUUAUCCGGAUUUAUUGGGUUUAAAGGGAGCGUAGGCGGGAGAUCAAGUCAGCUGUGAAAUGUAGAUGCUCAACAUCUGCACUGCAGUUGAAACUGGUUUUCUUGAGUGCGUAAGGGGCAGGCGGAAUUCGUCGUGUAGCGGUGAAAUGCUUAGAUAUGACGAAGAACUCCGAUCGCGAAGGCGGCCUGCCGGGCCGCGACUGACGCUGAAGCUCGAAGGUGCGGGUAUCGAACAGGAUUAGAUACCCUGGUAGUCCGCACAGUAAACGAUGGAUACUCGCUGUCGGCGAUAUACGGUCGGUGGCCAAGCGAAAGCGUUAAGUAUCCCACCUGGGGGGUACGCCGGCAACGGUGAAACUCAAAUGAAUUGACGGGG